rnacentral:rRNA from 1 species
CCUACGGGAGACUGCAGUGGGGAAUAUUGCACAAUGGGGGGAACCCUGAUGCAGCAACGCCGCGUGAGUGAAGAAGUAUUUCGGUAUGUAAAGCUCUAUCAGCAGGGAAGAAGAUGACGGUACCUGAGUAAGAAGCCCCGGCGAACUACGUGCCAGCAGCCGCGGUAAUACGUAGGGGGCCAGCGUGAUCCGGAUUGACUGGGUGUAAAGGGAGCGUAGACGGCGAGGCAAGUCUGGAGUGAAAGCCCGGGGCGCAACCCCGGGACUGCUUUGGAAACUGGCUGGCGGGAGGGCUGGAGAGGUAAGGGGAAUUCCUAGUGGAGCGGUGAAAUGCGUAGAUAUUAGGAAGAAAACCAGUGGCGAAGGCCGCUUGCUGGACAGUAACUGACGUUGAGGCUCGAAAGCGUGGGGAGCAAACAGGAUUAGAUACCCCUGUAGUC